UCCUUUUCGUUUGAGGGGAACCUGCGGAAGGAUCACCAUUGAAAUUUAUUAAUGAGGAGUUGAGUUGUUGCUGGCCUUUUCUACCUUAAUUUGGCAGGAGGGGCAUGUGCACACCUUCUCUUUCAUCCAUCACACCCCCUGUGCACUUGUGAGACAGCAAUAGUUGGUGGAUUUAAUUCCAUCAUCCAUUUGCUGUCUACUUAAUUUACACACACUCUACUUAAUUUAAACUGAAUGUAAUUGAUGUAACGCAUCUAAUACUAAGUUUCAACAACGGAUCUCUUGGCUCUCGCAUCGAUGAAGAACGCAGCGAAAUGCGAUAAGUAAUGUGAAUUGCAGAAUUCAGUGAAUCAUCGAAUCUUUGAACGCACCUUGCGCUCCUUGGUAUUCCUUGGAGCAUGCCUGUUUGAGUAUCAUGAAAUCUUCAAAGUAAACCUUUUGUUAAUUCAAUUGGUCUUUUUUACUUUGGUUUUGGAGGAUCUUAUUGCAGCUUCACACCUGCUCCUCUUUGUGCAUUAGCUGGAUCUCAGUGUUAUGCUUGGUUCCACUCGGCGUGAUAAGUUAUCUAUCGCUGAGGACACCCAUAAAAAAGGUGGCCAAGGUAAAUGCAGAUGAACCGCUUCUAAUAGUCCAUUGACUUGGACAAUAUUCUAUUUUAUGAUCUGAUCUCAAAUCAGGUAGGAUACCCCCGGAACUUAAGCAUAUCAAUAGCCCGGGGGGAAGAUCAAUA
rnacentral:rRNA from 1 species